rnacentral:rRNA from 1 species
NCGAAGUUAAUCGUGCUUUGGGCGAGAUUAGUACUAUGAUGGGUGACCUCCUGGGAAGUCCUCGUGUUGCACCCCUCGG